rnacentral:misc_RNA from 1 species
UGGUUCUGGCAUCGAUGAAGAACGCAGCGAAAUGCGAUAAGUAAUGCGAAUUGCAGAAUUUCCGUGAGUCAUCGAAUCUUUGAACGCACAUUGCGCCCAUUGGUAUUCCGAUGGGCAUGCCUGUUCGAGCGUCAUUAUCACCCCUCAAGCCUGGCUUGGUGUUGGACCGCCCGUCGUUUGCGCGACCGGUCCCAAAGACAAUGACGGCGUCUGUUGGACCCUCGGUGCAAUGAGCUUUCUCCAAAGCACGCACUCGAGUUCAGGACCUUCAGGCCCGGUCACCUUUUAUACCCUUCUCAAGGUUGACCUCGGAUCAGGUAGGGAUACCCGCUGA